UUCGUAGGGUGCAGGCGUUAAUCGGAAUUACUGGGCGUAAAGCGUGCGCAGGCGGUCUUUUAAGUCAGAUGUGAAAUCCCCGGGCUUAACCUGGGAACUGCGUUUGAAACUGAAAGGCUAGAGUGUGGCAGAGGGGGGUGGAAUUCCACGUGUAGCAGUGAAAUGCGUAGAGAUGUGGAGGAACACCGAUGGCGAAGGCAGCCCCCUGGGCUAACACUGACGCUCAUGCACGAAAGCGUGGGGAGCAAACAGG
rnacentral:rRNA from 1 species